UACGUAGGUGGCAAGCGUUGUCCGGAUUUAUUGGGUUUAAAGGGUGCGUAGGUGGGCAGGUAAGUCAGUGGUGAAAUCUCCGGGCUUAACUCGGAAACUGCCAUUGAUACUAUCUUUCUUGAAUACCGUGGAGGUCAGCGGAAUAUGUCAUGUAGCGGUGAAAUGCUUAGAUAUGACAUAGAACACCAAUUGCGAAGGCAGCUGGCUACACGAAUAUUGACACUGAGGCACGAAGGCCAGGGGAGCAAACGGG
rnacentral:rRNA from 1 species